GGGGAGGGGGGUGGGCUCGGCUCGGGUCCGCGGCGAUCAGGCGCUCAGGCCUCUGCAGCCGCGGCUCACCCGCAUGGCCCCCGGGCGCCGCCGCCCCCGGCCCCGGCUCCGUCGCUGGGGGGCAGGGGAGGACCUGGGCGCAGGACCUGGGUCCGAGGCCGCUACCUGGGCGGAUCCCGAGCCCGAGUGAGCAUCCACGGCCCGGGGGCUGCGUUGCGAACCAGCCGAGGCGUCUAGCCGUGUGGGGGCGCCCAGGGGACUCCAACCUCCAAGAGGAAAAGGAACACGGCAGUCGAUGGGAAUGAAAAAUGGGCGCUGGCGGCCGGAGGGGAGCCCUAUGGAGGCAGCGG
rnacentral:lncRNA from 1 species